GAUGAACGCUAGCGGCAGGCCUAACACAUGCAAGUCGAGGGGUAGAAUUAGCUUGCUAAUUUGAGACCGGCGCACGGGUGCGUAACGCGUAUGCAAUCUACCUUGUACAGGGGGAUAGCCCAGAGAAAUUUGGAUUAAUACUCCAUGGUAUAAUUGAAUCGCAUGGUUUGAUUAUUAAAGUUCCAACGGUACAAGAUGAGCAUGCGUCCCAUUAGCUAGUUGGUGUGGUAACGGCAUACCAAGGCGACGAUGGGUAGGGGUCCUGAGAGGGAGAUCCCCCACACUGGUACUGAGACACGGACCAGACUCCUACGGGAGGCAGCAGUGAGGAAUAUUGGUCAAUGGUCGGAAGACUGAACCAGCCAUGCCGCGUGCAGGAAGACGGUCCUAUGGAUUGUAAACUGCUUUUGUACGGGAAGAAACACUCCUUCGUGAAGGAGCUUGACGGUACCGUAAGAAUAAGGAUCGGCUAACUCCGUGCCAGCAGCCGCGGUAAACUCGU
rnacentral:rRNA from 1 species